rnacentral:rRNA from 1 species
UCGCACAAGCGGCGGAGCAUGCGGACUAAUUCGAUGCAACGCGAAGAACCUUACCUGGGUUUGACAUAUGCCGGUAGCAGCCAGAGAUGGUUGUGCCUUUUGGGCCGGUUUACAGGUGGUGCAUGGCUGUCGUCAGCUCGUGUCGUGAGAUGUUGGGUUAAGUCCCGCGACGAGCGCAACCCUUGUCCUAUGUUGCCAGCGGUUCGGCCGGGAACUCAUAGGAGACUGCCGGGGUCAACUCGGAGGAAGGUGGGGAUGACGUCAAGUCAUCAUGCCCCUUAUGUCCAGGGCUUCACGCAUGCUACAAUGGCUGGUACAGAGGGUUGCGAUGCCGUGAGGUGGAGCGAAUCCCUUAAAGCCAGUCUCAGUUCGGAUUGGGGUCUGCAACUCGACCCCAUGAAGUCGGAGUCGCUAGUAANNNCAGAUCAGCAUUGCUGCGGUGAAUACGUUCCCGGGCCUUGUACACACCGCCCGUCAAGUCAUGAAAGUCGGUAACACCCGAAGCCGGUGGCCUAACCUUUUUGGG